rnacentral:snRNA from 1 species
AUACUUACCUGGCACAGGAGAUACCGUGAUCACGAAGGCGGUUUUCCCAGGGCGAGGCUCACCAUUGCACUCCGGUGGUGCUGACCCCUGCGAUUAACCCAAAUGUGGUUAACUCGAGUGUGCAAUUUUUGGUAGCGGGGGACUGCGUUCGCGCUAUCCCCCU